GAAUGCUGACAUAAGUAACGAUAAAGCGGGUGAAAAGCCCGCUCGCCGGAAGACCAAGGGUUCCUGUCCAACGUUAAUCGGGGCAGGGUGAGUCGACCCCUAAGGCGAGGCCGAAAGGCGUAGUCGAUGGGAAACAGGUUAAUAUUCCUGUACUUGGUGUUACUGCGAAGGGGGGACGGAGAAGGCUAUGUUGGCCGGGCGACGGUUGUCCCGGUUUAAGCGUGUAGGUGUGUGUUCCAGGUAAAUCCGGUUCACUUUAACACUGAGGCGUGACGACGAGGCACUACGGUGCUGAAGCAACAAAUGCCCUGCUUCCAGGAAAAGCCUCUAAGCAUCAGGUAACAUCAAAUCGUACCCCAAACCGACACAGGUGGUCAGGUAGAGAAUACCAAGGCGCUUGAGAGAACUCGGGUGAAGGAACUAGGCAAAAUGGUGCCGUAACUUCGGGAGAAGGCACGCUGACACGUAGGUGAAGUGAUUUACUCA
rnacentral:rRNA from 1 species